UUCCUGAAGCUGAUGAUGAUGUCACAUACAGCACUGUCAUCUUCCAGCAACAAGACCCAACUAAAAGGACAGACCAAGUCAGCAGAACCAGAUGAUAAUGUGGUCUACAGCUCACUAGCUCUACAGGUGACCACACAGCAGAGGGCAGCAGCAGCACAAUAGUGACUGACUGAGAAGACUUUCCUUUUACUGGAAGGACAGAACACUCCCCUCUCCUGUGUCACAACGUCUAUCUGCCUCCAAUAUGAUUCUGUCAUACUUCUUAACCCAUCCCAGAAAGACCCCGUUAUCCUUUUGUGUAAUAAACUACUGAAGGCAGUCUGCUGUGUUUGUUCUGAUUAUCAUCACAUUUCUGUUAUUAGUUAUGUUCCACCACCUUUCCCCUUGUCUCUUAUUUCUUACAUCAUGAUCUUAUUGAUCUAGUUUAAUGUCCUAUGCCUGUAACUAAUCAUGAUCAACGUGUAUUAAGAUCUUAGUAAUAAAUGAUUAACCCAAGUGGAGAGUUGAAGGACACAUGUAAAGGAGUUCCCGGGGUUCAAACCAAAUCUGUUAAAGUAUGAGGGAGGGGGGUUAUUAACAGUGGGGCGUUUAUCAUAGGUUACUGUUUAAGUUCCC